rnacentral:lncRNA from 1 species
AAAGAAUACAAGAGCAGGCUCCCCACUGAGCACGCAGCCUAACAUGGGGCUUGAUCCUAGGACCCUGAGAUUAUGACCCAAACUGAAAUCAAGAGUCAGAUGUUCAAUCAACUGAAACACCCAGGCACCCCUUCAUUCACCUUUAAGAGAACCAUUUGGAACACCUAAAGGACUCUGCCCAAGGAGCACUGUCUCCGUUAGCUACAGAAAGUGAUGACUUCCUCAGUCCUUACUAAAAGCUUGGCCCACAACCCACCCUUACUCAUUGCCCAACUCAAUUUUGCCCUCACAUAACCUCAUUAGUCAGCCCCAGCACUCAGUUCCAAGAGGCCCCUCCAGAAAGCCUGAAGACCACUUCUCCCUAGGGGGUGACUAAGCAGAGCUUAAUCAGACCCAAAUGAGCUUUAUUUCUUGGGGAGAAUGUUUGUCCCCACAGUUUCCAGGACAGACUUGAGACCACAGGGCCCAAGUUUAAAUCUUGGGUGUACAGCUUACUUGGGGACUCUCUUUUGGCAUCUCUGCCAAGGACAUGGUUUGGCUGGAUCCACUAUCCUGGCCUCGGCACACCUCUGGGAAACUGAGCUAAGAGAAACAUGGCCCGGGAGGCAGAUGGGGAACUGGAGCUUUUGUCUGCUUGAAAGCAGGGCCUUACAACAGAAAUGUGCACCACCAGGGGCCAAGUGCUCAUUGGAUCAGUGACCAGCAUCUUCCUGACACUGCUGUGAGCCCCUGCACCUUUUCUGAGACUGGACUGCUGGCCAGGGCAAAAACAAGGCGAACCUUCUUGGAACCCCCAAUUAACUCUUCUCUGUGCAAUGGGGAGUGGAGGUGGGGUGGAGAGUGGUUCUUAACCUCUGUUAAAGAUGGUCAGUGACAGGGCAAUCUGAAUUGACCCUGUUGGGUUUGCAGUGGGAACUCACAGAUCACAGCAUUCAGUGAUAAUGAAUGGCUAUGGUGAAUGUGGCUAUUCCUCCCAAAACUUGCACAGCAUAAUCAACCAUGUGUCCUUGGCCAAUGUCCCAUCUACUCAGGAAUGCCCAAGGCAUCAUUAUAAGUCCAGUUCAAAUUCCUCUUCACUCAGAUUCCUCUCUUAGUCCUAGAAGGCCCUUCAGUUAAAGGUGAUGAUUUCAUGGCUUGUUCAGAUGUUUUAUUUGUGGUGACAUCUCCCCAGUCUCUUCUAGAGGGGAUAAGAGGUGUCUUUUUCAUCCUGACAUUCACCGUGGCAGCCAGAAUGGAGACUUACAUACAGUAGGCAUGUAAUAAAAUGAAAGUUAUAUUAAUAACAGCCUGUGGAGAAGAAUAAAUUCAGUCAUGUGAACUAUAAUAUUCA